rnacentral:misc_RNA from 1 species
GAUGAAGAACGUAGCGAAAUGCGAUACUUGGUGUGAAUUGCAGAAUCCCGUGAACCAUCGAGUCUUUGAACGCAAGUUGCGCCCGAAGCCAUUAGGCCGAGGGCACGCCUGCCUGGGCGUCACACGUCGUUGCCCCCCCAUCUACUCCUUCGGGAUUGCGGGGGGCGGAUGAUGGCCUCCCGUGCGCCUCGUCGCGCGGUUGGCAUAAAUGCCAAGUCCUCGGCGACGCACGCCACGACAAUCGGUGGUUGCGAAACCUCGGUUGCCCAUCGUGUGCGGUCGUCGCGCAUCGAGGGCUCGAAAAAAUUGCCGGGCUCCGGCUCGGCUUUCAACGCGACCCCAGGUCAGGCGGGGUUACCCGCUGAAUUUAAGCAUAUCAAUAAGCGGAGGA